AUGCAUGGUGGAGUUACCAUCUCUCCGAUGGCUCUAGAUCGUUGUAUCGCUGGAGACGCUGUUCGAGGCAGAUCAGAUCGGAGUUCGUCUGAUCUGAAUCUCCGGCAGCGGUCAGUUGUUCGCCUCCUCUCUCUCUCUCAGGCUCCAGGUCAGCUCGUGUGCUCCUCCCACCUCGGCGGCGGCAAGCCGGUUGCCAGCUCCUUCCCGACCGGUGAUGCGACGCCGUGCGAACCUACAAAUCUUCAACAUGAGAUUAAUUCCCCAAUGCUUCUCAUUGAUGAUUCCAGUACACCGAAAAAGAAACAAUCGUUCUCUCAAGUGGUACACACACUUUCGAAUAUUAUGCAAUAUAAGUUCUUACUUUUUUCCUUGUUAAAGUCCAUGAUUCAGUCAUGUUUGAUAGCACAGUAUACAUCCUUAUCAUGUGUCAUGUUAUUGCAAGCCAUAUAUAGGUGCCGAACUAGUACGAGAUAA
rnacentral:rRNA from 1 species